rnacentral:rRNA from 1 species
GAUGAACGCUGGCGGCGUGCUUAACACAUGCAAGUCGAACGAAGCACUUUAUUUGAUUUCCUUCGGGACUGAUUAUUUUGUGACUGAGUGGCGGACGGGUGAGUAACGCGUGGGUAACCUGCCUUGUACAGGGGGAUAACAGUUGGAAACGGCUGCUAAUACCGCAUAAGCGCACAGCAUCGCAUGAUGCAGUGUGAAAAACUCCGGUGGUAUAAGAUGGACCCGCGUUGGAUUAGCUAGUUGGUGAGGUAACGGCCCACCAAGGCGACGAUCCAUAGCCGACCUGAGAGGGUGACCGGCCACAUUGGGACUGAGACACGGCCCAAACUCCUACGGGAGGCAGCAGUGGGGAAUAUUGCACAAUGGGCGAAAGCCUGAUGCAGCGACGCCGCGUUAGCGAAGAAGUAUUUCGGUAUGUAAAGCUCUAUCAGCAGGGAAGAUAAUGACGGUACCUGACUAAGAAGCACCGGCUAAAUACGUG